UGAGUAACCUGCCCUUAACUCUGGGAUAAGCCUGGGAAACUGGGUCUAAUACCGGAUAUGACUCCUCAUCGCAUGGGUGGGGGGUGGAAAGCUUUAUUGUGGUUUUGGAUGGACUCGCGGCCUAUCAGCCUGUUGGUGAGGUAAUGGCUCACCAAGGCGACGACGGGUAGCCGGCCUGAGAGGGUGACCCGGCCACACUGGGACUGAGACACGGCCCAGACCUCCUACGGGAGCAG
rnacentral:rRNA from 1 species